rnacentral:misc_RNA from 1 species
UUUGAGAUUUCAUUUUAUGAUUGGGAGCUUUUAGGUAUGUGCCCAACUAAAUCAACAGUUGUUGCAUCCUUCAAACCUCAAUAUGUCUUAGGGUAUAAGUUCGUGAUUGGAUUCAUCUGAAAUGAUGGUUGCCUCGUUGCACAUUACCUGGAACAUGAGAUGCUGAUGACUGAGUUGUACAUUGUAUCAUACCAUUCUGCACCAUGUAUUAAUUUCCAAGCGAUAACUACAGUUGAGGUUUCAGAAAAUUUUACAUAGUUUUAUGAGUGUGUUGUAUCAAGCUAUGUUGAAAUUGAUGUUUGAAUAGUUUGGAUUGGUCGAGUAUAGUUUAACCCUGAAGGCAUUAACCCUUUAUAUGUGAAGAGUGUGAAGUUGGAGGUCCUCUCUGCUUGUUGAUGUUGAUGAAUUGGCUUUUCUUUUCUGGCUCUCAUUGACCUGAAUACCGGACUCUUGUUUUGCU